ACGAUGUUUAGGGGUCCUGAGAGGGUGAUCCCCCACACUGGUACUGAGACACGGACCAGACUCCUACGGGAGGCAGC
rnacentral:rRNA from 1 species